UGGGGCUCCUGGGUGUGACAGGUGUUAGGGCUCCUGGGUGUGACAGGUGUUGGAGCUCCUGGGUGUGACAGGUGUUGGGGCUCCUGGGUGUGACAGGUGUUAGAGCUCCUGAGUGUGACAGGUGUUGGGGCUCCUGGGUGUGACAGGUGUUGGGGCUCCUGGGUGUGACAGGUGUUGGGGCUCCUGGGUGUGACAGGUGUUGGGGCUCCUGGGUGUGACAGGUGUUGGGGCUCCUGGGUGUGACAGGUGUUAGGGCUCCUGGGUGUGACAGGUGUUGGGGCUCCUGGGUGUGACAGGUGUUGGGGCUCCUGGGUGUGACAGGUGUUAGAGCUCCUGGGUGUGACAGGUGUUGGGGCUCCUGGGUGUGACAGGUGUUGGGGCUCCUGGGUGUGACAGGUGUUGGGGCUCCUGGGUGUGACAGGUGUUGGGGCUCCUGGGUGUGACAGGUGUUGGGGCUCCUGGGUGUGACAGGUGUUAAGAGCUGGGUGUGACAGGUGUUGGAGCUCCAGGGUGUGACAGGUGUUGGAGCUCCAGGGUGUGACAGGUGUUGGGGCUCCUGGGUGUGACAGGUGUUGGAGCUCCAGGGUGUGACAGGUGUUGGGGCUCCUGGGUGUGACAGGUGUUGGAGCUCCAGGGUGUGACAGGUGUUGGAGCUCCAGGGCGUGACAGGUGUUGGAGCUCCAGGGUGUGACAGGUGUUAGGGCUCCUGGGUGUGACAGGUGUUUGGGCUCCUGGGUGUGACAGGUGUUAGGGCUCCUGGGUGUGACAGGUGUUAAGAGCUGGGUGUGACAGGUGUUAAGAGCUGGGUGUGACAGGUGUUGGGGCUCCUGGGUGUGACAGGUGUUGGGGCUCCUGGGUGUGACAGGUGUUAGGGCUCCAGGGUGUGACAGGUGUUAGGGCUCCAGGGUGUGACAGGUGUUAGGGCUCCAGGGUGUGACAGGUGUUGGGGCUCCAGGGUGUGACAGGUGUUAGGGCUCCUGGGUGUGACAGGUGUUAGGGCUCCAGGGUGUGACAGGUGUUAGGGCUCCAGGGUGUGACAGAGCACCCCGGUGCUCUACUGAUUUAAGAAGCGCCAAACCAAUCUUAAGAUUAAUCAGUGCAGCUAGACAAGUAGCUGUAAUUGUAGACAUUUUUUAUACAAUUUAGAAACUUUAUUAUGUAUAUCUUAAAAAAUAAUUUUGUUAAUACAUUUUGUCAUUUGCAUUGUUUGUAGUUUUUGUCAAUUUCAUAUCUUUUA